UUCAGUGACGCAGUUAACGCAGUAAGCAUACCACCUGGGGAGUACGUUCGCAAGAAUGAAACUCAAAGGAAUUGACGGGGGCCCGCACAAGCGGUGGAGCAUGUGGCUUAAUUCGAUGCAACGCGAAGAACCUUACCCGGGCUAAAUCUCAGGCGACCGGUCCCGAAACGGACCUUCCCUUCGGGGCGGCUGAGAAGGUGCUGCAUGGCUGUCGUCAGCUCGUGCCGUGAGGUGUUGCCUUAAGUGGCGCAACGAGCGCAACCCCUGUGGUUAGUUACCAGCACGUAAUGGUGGGGACUCUAGCCAGACUGCCUACGCAAGUAGUGAGGAAGGUGGGGACGACGUCAAGUCAUCAUGGCCCUUAUGUCCGGGGCUGCACACGUGCUACAAUGGAUGGUACAGAGGGAAGCUACCCGGCGACGGGCUGCAGAUCUCGAAAGCCAUUCCCAGUUCGGAUUGGAGUCUGCAACUCGACUCCAUGAAGGUGGAAUCGCUAGUAAUCGCGUAUCAGCAAUGACGCGGUGAAUACGUUCCCGGGCCUUGUACACACCGCCCGUCAAGCGAUGGAAGUCAGGAGUACCUGAUGUCGGCGUGCUAAUCCACCUUUGGUGGAAGGCAGCUGCCUAGGGUAAGCCUGGUAACUGGCGCUAAGUCGUAACAAGGUAGCCGUACCGGAAGGUGCGGCUG
rnacentral:rRNA from 1 species